AGUGUGGUUAUGUCUGUUGAAUUGAAACGUCAGACGUGGUGACUGGUGAGUGCAAUUAAAAUUAAAAAUCUCUCAUUUAAUCGAUUAUAUCACACGGGCGGUGGAGAAAUCACACGCGAAAAUAUCUAGCGCGUUGGUGUGACACGAGAUAGUUGACCCAGUGCCACGGGGAUUGUGUGUUUUGUGCGUGUUUGUCGAGUGUGUCUCGUGACUUACUGUGAAAAAUGUCCAAUCCCUCUGCCUCCUCCGCGAGUCUGGUGACGAUGGGGGCGCCAUCGUUGCCCACGGUGCAAUCCCAGGCAUCACUGACUGGGGCUACUGGGGGCGGUGGUGUGGCUGUGGGCUGGCCCAAUAGCAAAGAUGAUUAUGAGCUGAAAGAGGUGAUUGGGGUGGGGGCCACGGCAGUGGUUCACGGUGCCUUCUGUAUUCCCCGGAAUGAGAAAUGUGCGAUAAAGCGCAUCAACCUGGAGAAGUGGAACACCUCGAUGGAUGAGCUGCUGAAGGAGAUCCAGGCCAUGUCGAGUUGCAAUCACGAGAAUGUCGUGACCUACUGUACGUCAUUUGUGGUGAAAGAAGAACUGUGGCUGGUGCUGAGAUUACUGGAGGGUGGUAGCCUCCUGGACAUCAUCAAGCACAAAAUGAAGACAACCAACUGCCGACAUGGUGUCUUCGAUGAGGCCACCAUAGCCACAGUACUCAAGGAAGUCCUCAAGGGGCUCGAGUACUUUCACAGCAAUGGCCAAAUCCAUCGGGACAUAAAGGCCGGCAAUAUCCUGAUGGGGGAUGAUGGCACCGUGCAAAUUGCAGAUUUUGGGGUGAGUGCCUGGCUGGCUACAGGGCGGGACAUGUCGCGUCAAAAGGUGCGUCACACUUUUGUUGGAACUCCCUGUUGGAUGGCCCCAGAAGUCAUGGAACAGGAUCAUGGGUAUGACUUCAAGGCGGACAUCUGGUCAUUUGGUAUCACAGCCAUUGAAAUGGCUACGGGCACGGCGCCUUAUCAUAAGUAUCCACCCAUGAAGGUGCUGAUGCUGACGCUUCAGAAUGAUCCGCCCACCCUAGAUACGGGUGCAGAUGAAAAGGAUCAGUAUAAAGCGUACGGUAAGACUUUUCGGAAGAUGAUUGUUGAGUGUCUGCAGAAGGAGCCAUCGAAACGACCCACGGCCAGUGAGUUGCUGAAGCAUCCCUUCUUCAAGAAGGCCAAGGAUCGCAAGUACCUGACACAGACGCUUCUGGCCAAUGGGCCGUCUAUGGAGACGAGAGUUAUCAAGGCGGCCAAGAGGCAACCUGGAACAUCCGGGAGAUUGCACAGAACCCUGACUGGGGAAUGGGUGUGGUCGAGUGAAGAGGAAGACAAUGGUGGUCCCAGUAGUAAACACUUCAGUGACUCCGAAGAUGAAGAUCGGCCUAUGAAUCGUCUGGAAUUGGUGCAUUCAUCAGAUAGUGAACGUGAGGAAGUGUCUGAAGUGUCUGAGCAGACGGCAACUGUGUCACAGACAACGGAAGCCCUUCCAAAUGACUUUCCGCCAGUGAACUUAGUGCUGAGGAUGCGGAAUACUAAUCGUGAACUCAAUGAUAUCCGUUUUGAAUUUGCCGUGGGCAAGGAUUCAGCUGAGGGAAUUGCGACAGAAUUGGUGGGAGCUGGACUCGUGGACAGUCGGGAUAUUGUUGUGAUGGCGGCAAAUUUGCAAAAACUCAUUGAUAGUCGCCACAAUACGAAAACCGUCACCUUCCUCCUCAACUCUGGCUAUGGAGCCACUGAGACGCCCGAUGAGAAAUCCCUGAUUGGAUAUGCCCAGAUAUCAGUUACGGACUAAUGGCCUGACAAGUGUCUCUGUCUCUUGAGUGCCUCUUUUCCCGGUGAAGAGAGUCCCCCUCCCCUCCUCCUCCUCCUCCUGAAACCCCCAAAAACAAAUGAAAACAGUAAUCCAAGGAGGUAUAAAUAUAGAGAAGAGGAAUGAUAAAAAAGAAGCUAAAACAUACAACUAUAAAAUACUAGAAACAAGCUUAAAGAAGUCGAUUGAGAGGCAAGGAGAACUAAAGUUGAUUAGUGGUUAUUCUUAACCUGGAAUAAAAUAAUAAAUAAUGAAUAUAGUGGAAAAGAAACGCAUGUUAAAUCGAUUGCAGAGAGUUAAUUUGCAGUGAAAUGUUCUUGAGACAUGUCUCUCGGAGCAUCAUUGUACAUACCAUCUGGGUUGUAUUUGCUCAGAGAUCGACAGAGAGGUGGGAAAGACACAGUGGAAAUAGAGAAAAAAAAAUCUAUACGCUAGAAAAUGUGACGUCGGCUUAAUAUUUAAAUUGUAUAUUAUAGAAUGAGUGCAAUGUCAUAAGAGCGAUUUAUUUAUAGAAAUUUAUAUUGAAGAGGUGUUUUGAGUCUCUUAAAAUAUAUAUAAAACAAAAAUAUUGCAAAAUAUACCAUUUUAUUGGGAACUGUUCUUGCUAACACCUGA